CGCCAGAUACAUGCGUCAUCCGCCAGACACUCCCCCGAAGCCAGCGAGGAUGGCUGCGCGCGCGUUUGAGCGCUCGCGCGCGGCGACCCGUCUGUCUCCUUUUUUUCUUUUUUAAAUGUAACCUGGUUUAUUGGGCUCUCGGCGUAUUCUUGCGUUCCUUCUGCACUGGGACAAGACACCACUGCACUAUUGGACUACGCCAAGCUGGUGCCGUCCGGUGGAGCUUCAUACAGGAACUACUGCCUUACCUGCUGGUGUCACAACGUUGGAUGAACGCACAAAAAGCGCGGAACGAGCUUUUAUAUAGAGCAAAAUAAAUAUUUCCUCAUUGCACAAAA